GACAGAGGAUGCAAGCGUUAUCCGGAAUGAUUGGGCGUAAAGCGUCUGUAGGUGGCUUUUUAAGUCUGCCGUCAAAUCCCAGGGCUUAACCCUGGACAGGCGGUGGAAACUACCAAGCUGGAGUACGGUAGGGGCAGAGGGAAUUCCUGGUGUAGCGGUGAAAUGCGCAGAUAUCAGGAGGAACACCGGUGGCGAAGGCGGGUCUCUGGGCCGAUACUGACGCUGAGGAGCGAAAGCGUGGGGAGCGAACAGG
rnacentral:rRNA from 1 species